GAUGAACGCUGGCGGCGUGCCUAAUACAUGCAAGUCGAGCGAACAGACGAGGAGCUUGCUCCUCUGACGUUAGCGGCGGACGGGUGAGUAACACGUGGAUAACCUACCUAUAAGACUGGGAUAACUUCGGGAAACCGGAGCUAAUACCGGAUAAUAUAUUGAACCGCAUGGUUCAAUAGUGAAAGACGGUUUUGCUGUCACUUAUAGAUGGAUCCGCGCCGCAUUAGCUAGUUGGUAAGGUAACGGCUUACCAAGGCGACGAUGCGUAGCCGACCUGAGAGAGUGAUCGGCCACACUGGAACUGAGACACGGUCCAGACUCCUACGGUAGGCAGCAGUAGGGAAUCUUCCGCAAUGCGCGAAAGCCUGACGGAGCAACGCCGCGUGAGUGAUGAAGGUCUUCGGAUCGUAAAACUCUGUUAUUAGGGAAGAACAAAUGUGUAAGUAACUAUGCACGUCUUGACGGUACCUAAUCAGAAAGCCACGGCUAACUACGUG
rnacentral:rRNA from 1 species